CCAUUCUUAGGCAAUGUUUCUCUAAUUUUGGGAGGAAUGUAUCCACUAAGACGAGAGGCCAGGCUCCGUUUUCCAGAGAGUCGUUUUACCUUUGGGGAUUUAAAAUAAAGGCAAUCAUACAUCCAUGCAGGAUCAUGUAUGACGGCGUGUCUUGUAAGACUUUGCUGCAGUGAAGGGGAUGGGAAGGAGAAAAGUCAAACCUGAGAUAUUCUUUAUGUCCAAACUUUGAAUAUAUUAAAAAUGUCAUGAUUUUAAAUCCUUGAAAAAUCUGUUAGUUGAACUAUCAUUAAAAGUCUGUCUCCUUUCCCAUGCA